rnacentral:lncRNA from 1 species
CUGGCAGAUGUCUCUCCCUGGCCUGGGUUCUUGCAUGCCUGCAGCUGACUGGAGAGGGCCUGUCCCGCUCCUUAGGUGAGCAUGUGCUCUCUUGUGUUCAGUCUUUACACUAUGUGUGUCUUCUCCUUCCCUCCACUGGUGCCCUGCCUUGUGCUGGCCUUUGGGUUUCAACCCCUGCUUUAGGAGAAUCAGCAAUCUGGUGGCCGGGCACCAUUGCCAUAGUAGAGGUUUUUACUGCCGAGCGUAGUGCUUUAGGGUGUUUACUUCUAAGUGGAGCCAGAGUCUCCCUUCUCCCUGUCUUACCUUUUUGGUGUCUGGAGGCUAAUCUAUGUUCUUCUGGCCCUUGACCCCAACACACAUGCAAGGUUUGUUCCCCAGAUUAUCUGCUUCUCUCCUGUGCUUCUUGUCCCUUCCUAUGGGAAUAUGCUGGAGUCAGGAGCUGAUAACCUGCAGGGCGGAGACGCAGAGCCAGCUGCCAGCCCUCACUGCUCAUCAGCCUGCUCCCUGCCUUUGCGAUGGGCCUGGGGUUCCACCUGCCCUGGCUAGGGGAAGGAGUCACCUCACAGCAUUCACCACUGGCACCUGUUCUGGGACCAGUCUCCACUGUGUCUUCAGUUCCCUGUCUUUGUUGUGUUAGAAAAUGUCACCUUCCAGAACCGCACCUUUGUUUCCAUGUAUUCGCGUACGUAUUAUUCUCUUGCAGAGAUUUUUUAUUUAUUUAUUUUUUAAAGCAGUCACCUUUAUUUUAUUUUAUUUUAUCGGUUGUUCAAAACAUUACAAAGCUCUUGACAUAUCAUAUUUCAUACAUUUGAUUCAAGUGGGUUAUGAACUCCCAUUUUUACCCUGUAUACAGAUUGCAGAAUCACAUCAGUUACACAUCCACGUUUUUACAUAUUGCCAUACUAGUGACUGUCGUAUUCUGCUGCCUUUCCUAUCCUCUACUAUCCCCCCUCCCCUCCCCUCCCAUCUUCUAUCUCUACCCCAUCUACUGUAAUUCAUUUCUCUCCCUUGAUUUUUUUUCCCUUUCCCCUCACAUCCUCUUAUAUGUAAUUUUGUAUAGCAAUGAGGGUCACCUUCCAUUUCCAUGCAAUUUCCCUUCUCUCUCCCUUUCCCUCCCACCUCUCGUCCCUGUUCAGUGUUAAUCUUUUUCUCAUGCUCUUCCUCCCUGCUCUGUUUUUA